rnacentral:rRNA from 1 species
AUGUUAUCCAUAAGUCCACAACAAGCUUAUUCUUUCGUUGUUAAAUUUUCUCAACAACUCCAUUCAAUUUUUUCUUCUAAGGUUGCUUUCUAUUUCAUUCGUGGCACAAGUUGUCAUUUUCUUCUCCGUUAUUUUCAUUCAACUCUUUUAAUUCUUUCCGGAGGUUUUGUGUCAUGUCUUCAUCAAGUUUCAUUCCAUCAUGUGAAGUUCUUGUUCUAUUCCUUCCAUUUUGAGCCGGAGUGCUGCCUAAAUCCUUUCAGUCUUAUUCGUUUCUUAUCUCGUUCUAACCAGAGUGGUUUCAUAGUCUAUCUGAUUCCGUGA